rnacentral:rRNA from 1 species
GACGAACGCUGGCGGCGUGCUUAACACAUGCAAGUCGAGCGAUGAAGCACCUUCGGGUGUGAAUUAGCGGCGAACGGGUGAGGAACACGUGAAGAAUCUGCCUUCAACUCUGGGAUAACUCCGGGAAACCGGGGCUAAUACCGGAUAUGAGCCUUGAUCGCAUGAUUGGGGCUGGAAAGUUUUUCGGUUGAAGAUGACUUCGCGGCCUAUCAGCUUGUUGGUGAGGUAAUGGGUCACCAAGGCGACGACGGGUAGCCGGCCUGAGAGGGCGACCGGCCACACUGGGACUGAGACACGGCCCAGACUCCUACGGGAGGCAGCAGUGGGGAAUAUUGGGCAAUGGAGGAAACUCUGACCCAGCGACGCCGCGUGAGGGAUGAAGGCCUUCGGGUUGUAAACCUCUUUCAGUAGGGAAGAAGCGAAAGUGACGGUACCUACAGAAGAAGCACCGGCUAACUAUGUGCCAGCCGCCGCAGUAA